rnacentral:rRNA from 1 species
CCUACGGGAGGCAGCAGUGAGGAAUAUUGGUCAAUGGUCGGGAGACUGAACCAGCCAAGCCGCGUGAGGGAUGACGGUACAGAGUAUCGUAAACCUCUUUUGUCAGGGAACAAAGGCGGGGACGUGUCCCCGGAUGAGUGUACCUGAAGAAAAAGCAUCGGCUAACUCCGUGCCAGCAGCCGCGGUAAUACGGAGGAUGCGAGCGUUAUCCGGAUUUAUUGGGUUUAAAGGGUGCGCAGGCGGUCUGUUAAGUCAGCGGUCAAAGCCCGGGGCUCAACCCCGGCCAGCCGUUGAACCUGGUAGUCUAGAGUGGGAGAGAGGUAUGCGGAAUGCGCGGUGUAGCGGUGAAAUGCAUAGAUAUCGCGCAGAACUCCGAUUGCGAAGGCAGCAUGCCGGCUCCACACUGACGCUGAGGCACGAAAGCGUGGGUAUCGAACAGGAUUAGAUACCCCUGUAGUC